rnacentral:rRNA from 1 species
UACGUAGGGGGCAAGCGUUGUCCGGAUUCAUUGGGCGUAAAGCGCGCGUAGGCGGCCUCAUAAGUCCGUUGUGAAAGUCAAAGGCUCAACCUUUGAAAGCCGAUGGAUACUGUGAGGCUAGAGUCCGGAAGAGGCGAGUGGAAUUCCUGGUGUAGCGGUGGAAUGCGCAGAUAUCAGGAGGAACACCAAUAGCGAAGGCAGCUCGCUGGGACGGUACUGACGCUAAGGCGCGAAAGCGUGGGGAGCGAACAGG